rnacentral:tRNA from 1 species
GAGGGUGUAGUUCAGUGGCAGAGCAUUAGCCUAGCAGGCUUUAGGCUCUGGGUUCAAUCCCCAGCACCCCCC